AAGUAAAAAUAUAGACUUUAAAAAUAACUUUAAAAAGUAUAACUACACAAAAAAGCUACUUUAUUACAGUAACGCAGGUAAAUGUAAUGUGUUACGUUCCACCUCUGCUAAAACCUUGGGCUGUUGCAACAUGCCAUGCCUGGUCAGUGCUGCAGACUGUUUCCAUGCAGCUCUUGGAGAUGAUCCUCAUUCUUAGGGAUUAUUUUAGGAAUGCAUGCAAGAGCCAGUUUCAACACUUGAGGUCAGUCAAGGAUCCAAACUCAGAGUCGUGGAAAAACAAGCUCCAUCCUGAAGCAGGAAACUAAAGUUCAAAGGAAGUCGUGUAUUUCAUAAAAGGUUGGUAGGUCUGAACUGGCGUCAGCCUGAGGAAGUUUGCAGCCACAAACGAAACGUAGCGGGAAAACAGGCUCGCAAUCUGAGCUCCAAGUGUGAAGAGACACAGGACAAACAGAGUGGAUGAAGGUCUGUCAAAGAACACAGAAUGGACAUACUGUUGUGGAAGGAGAAAGCUAAUGAAAAGACCAUGCCAGUGGUCCUCCAUACCCGCGGGCCUCCUCUUUGUCACCACAUCAUCUGCAAAAGGCAGAGACCUGAUCCUCAGGCCACCAAAACGGAUUCCCUCAACAUGAUGGCUGCGCAUAGAAAUCCUGUCCAUAAAAUUCAUUAUUAUUAUUAUUACUUAUAAUAACCAGAAGCUAAACUUAUCUUCUUGCUGUGUGUCUUUUUAACACCAAGCUAACUGCUGAAAUGUCUCCUCAGCCUUCAUUAGUGUCUACAGGAGUGAUUCAUCACUAAAUCAAACAUAUCAGCUGUGUUCAUGAUCUAAAACCUGCUGGAAUCAGGCUGCAGUGCCGGGUACGUCAGCAACAUUUUUCUAAGGCCAACAGUGAGCGGUCCGCCAGUCUGAAGUUGCAAGUGCGGUAUUCUGGCCACAGGGGGGCAGUGGGAGUCUGAGUGACUUUUCAUUAACCCUGUAAAGGGUCAUUUUAGCACAUACUGGCUCAAGAAAAAUAAAAAAAUUAUGAAAAAUU